ensembl:lncRNA
GGAGAAGAUGAUCUGCAGGAUCCUGCUGCUCAUCAUCCUCACCUCAUGUGUCUCUGGAUCAUUUGUAGUCAAUGUGACACAGACCUCCUAUCAGGCAGAGGAGAACCACAACAUCACACUGGAGUGGACGUUCACCACCAAACCUGACAGAUCCUCCAAAACUCUCAACAUCCUCUGUGAACGCUUCAUCAAUGAUACACUCUCAGUCCUGUUUCAUGUUCAUGAAGGUGUUGAGGUGUCAGAGUCUCAGGAUGAAAAGUUUUCAGGACGAGUCCAGAGUGACAAAGACGCCCUCAGAGAAGGACGAAUCAGACUUCAACUGUCCAGACUCAGGACUGAUGACUCGGGUCUGUACCUGUGUGAGGUCAACACUGAUUAUGGCUUCGGUGUUGGAAGAUGUCGACUCAACGUGACUGCAUUUUCUGAUCAGCUCCAACCUCAGAGACCAACAACAAACUCAACAGCAGAAAAUGAGGGAAUGAUUGGUUUCUACAUUUUAAUGGGAG